CAGCUUGGAUGGGUCAUUCAUUCCAUGUGUUAGGUGAGAAAAAUUAAAUGACGCAGUUAUGCCAACCGAACCAAAGUCAGCCCAAUAAAGGUUGCUGGGAAAGUCCCUGAACGAGAUAAGUAGAAUGAAAGAAUACUUGUUUAAGUUGCAGGGAGUAAGAAAAAAGGGGAAGCCUGCAUUUUUGUACCAAGUGUUCUGGGAACAGUUUGUUGAGAUAGGAGGCACUGUUUUCCACUCCCUGUUCUUGUGUUAUGUCUGUUUUUAACUCCUCGUCUCCUGGUUGACACCCAUACCGAUAAAGUUAAUGAAGCAUUGCGAUUUGCUAAAAGUUAUCUACAAUAAGGGGGUAGAAGCACAUGCAUAAUAGAGAGAGGAUUUUAACUAACAUGGGAGGGGGGGCAUGGGCUGCUUUAUGAAUAAAUCUGUGAUGCGACGGAACGGUCUAUAAAAACCUAUUAGUUUUACUUAGAGGCUGCUGGUUCUCUUUGGAGACAGGCUGCUCUCUAUUGUUGUGUGCACUCUUCAAUAAAGAGCUUUGUGUUCGGACCUUGCUGGUGUUGCCUGUCUCUCUCCGGUCAGACAACGAACUGUGCCGUCUGGGGUUCGAGUCCUCAACACAUGUUUCAAAGUCUUCUACACCAGAAGUGAGCACAGAAAGUAGGAGGAUGCAAUCUUUAUUUGUAAGCAUUAGUUAUGCUUUUUCUCUCUGAGGUAACAAGAUGUAGAAAAAUUAUGGAUAAUGAAAAUUGCUUAUCUGUAUUUGAUAGGUUGUUUGCUCUGAUUUCCGCCCCGCCACUGUGUCUCUUUCUCUUUUCUUUUCUUUUCUUUUUUUUUAAAUAAUUUUUCCAUGUUCUAUAGCAGGGGCGGGCAAACUUUUUGGCCUGAGGGCCACAUCAGGUUUCCAAAAUUGUAUGGAGGGCCAGUUAGGGGAGGCUGUGUCUCCCCAAACAGCCAGGCAUGGCCCAGCCUCUGCCUUCUAUCCAACCCCGCCUGCUUCUUGCCGCCGACAGCUCCCCUGGGACUCCUACCCCAUCCACUGCCCCAUCCAACGCCCCCUCUCAUUCCUGACUUGCCCCCCAGGACCCC